GGGCAGGUAGCUCAGUCGGUACGAGCGUCCGCCUGAAAAGUGGAAGGUCGGCGGUUCGACCCCGCCCCUGCCCACCA
rnacentral:tRNA from 4 species